rnacentral:rRNA from 1 species
CUCAUUAAAUCAGUUAUCGUUUAUUUGAUAGUACCUUACUACUUGGAUAACCGUGGUAAUUCUAGAGCUAAUACAUGCUGAAAACCCCGACUUCGGAAGGGGUGUAUUUAUUAGAUAAAAAACCAAUGCCCUUCGGGGCUCCUUGGUGAUUCAUAAUAACUUCUCAGAUCGCAUGGCCUUGCGCCGGCGACGGUUCAUUCAAAUUUCUGCCCUAUCAACUUUCGAUGGUAAGGUAUUGGCUUACCAUGGUUUCAACGGGUAACGGGGAAUUAGGGUUCGAUUCCGGAGAGGGAGCCUGAGAAACGGCUACCACAUCCAAGGAAGGCAGCAGGCGCGCAAAUUACCCAAUCCCGACACGGGGAGGUAGUGACAAUAAAUACUGAUACAGGGCUCUUUUGGGUCUUGUAAUUGGAAUGAGUACAAUUUAAACCUCUUAACGAGGAACAAUUGGAGGGCAAGUCUGGUGCCAGCAGCCGCGGUAAUUCCAGCUCCAAUAGCGUAUAUUAAAGUUGUUGCAGUUAAAAAGCUCGUAGUUGAACCUUUGGCCUGGCUGGCAGGUCCGCCUCACCGCGUGCACUUGUCCGGCCGGGCCUUCUUUUCUGGAGAACCGCAUGCCCUUCACUGGGUGUGUUGGGGACCAGGACUUUUACUUUGAAAAAAUUAGAGUGUUCAAAGCAGGCCUUUGCUCGAAUACGUUAGCAUGGAAUAAUAGAAUAGGACGUGCGGUCCUAUUUUGUUGGUUUCUAGGACCGCCGUAAUGAUUAAUAGGGACAGUCGGGGGCAUCAGUAUUCAAUUGUCAGAGGUGAAAUUCUUGGAUUUAUUGAAGACUAACUACUGCGAAAGCAUUUGCCAAGGAUGUUUUCAUUAAUCAGUGAACGAAAGUUAGGGGAUCGAAGACGAUCAGAUACCGUCGUAGUCUUAACCAUAAACUAUGCCGACUAGGGAUCGGGCGGUGUUAUUAUUUUGACUCGCUCGGCACCUUACGAGAA